rnacentral:rRNA from 1 species
AGUGAACGCUGGCGGUAGGCCUAACACAUGCCAGUCGAACGGCAGCACAGUAAGAGCUUGCUCUUACGGGUGGCGAGUGGCGGACGGGUGAGGAAUACAUCGGAAUCUACUUUUUCGUGGGGGAUAACGUAGGGAAACUUACGCUAAUACCGCAUACGACCUACGGGUGAAAGCAGGGGAUCUUCGGACCUUGCGCGAUUGAAUGAGCCGAUGUCGGAUUAGCUAGUUGGCGGGGUAAAGGCCCAACAAGGCGACGAUCCGUAGCUGGUCUGAGAGGAUGAUCAGCAACACUGGAACUGAGACAGGGUCCAGACUCCUACGGGAGGCAGCAGUGGGGAAUAUUGGACAAUGGGCGCAAGCCUGAUCCAGCCAUACCGCGUGGGUGAAGAAGACCUUCGGGUUGUAAAGCCCUUUUGUUGGGAAAGAAAAGCAGCAGGUUAAUACCCCGCUGUUCUGACGGUACCAAAAGAAUAAGCACCGGCUAACUUCGUG